UACGAAGGGGGCUAGCGUUGCUCGGAAUGACUGGGCGUAAAGGGCGCGUAGGCGGAUGGCACAGUCAGAUGUGAAAUUCCCGGGCUCAACCUGGGGGCUGCAUUUGAUACGUAUGGACUUGAGUUCGGAAGAGGGUCGUGGAAUUCCCAGUGUAGAGGUGAAAUUCGUAGAUAUUGGGAAGAACACCGGUGGCGAAGGCGGCGACCUGGUCCGAUACUGACGCUGAGGCGCGAAAGCGUGGGGAGCAAACAGG
rnacentral:rRNA from 1 species